UCAAACUUGGUCAUUUAGAGGAAGUAAAAGUCGUAACAAGGUUUCCGUAGGUAAGUUAAAAAGUUUCGGACAUCUCCUUUAUACUUGAAUAAUAUGCUGACUAUUUUAGGUGAACCUGCGGAAGGAUCAUUACUGAGUGCGCCCCUCGUAAAAAAGGGGGUACCUCCCGUCCUUUGCUGGCCCUUUAAAGGGCUUUUUAAAUUUUGCUUCGGCGGGGUUACCCGCCGGAACACUCUCAAAACUCUUUGACAAAAUUGUUCCGUCCGAGAACUUUUAUAAAUUAGCGAAAAACUUUCAACAACGGAUCUCUUGGUUCUGGCAUCGAUGAAGAACGCAGC
rnacentral:misc_RNA from 1 species